UACGUAGGGGGCAAGCGUUGUCCGGAAUCAUUGGGCGUAAAGCGCGUGUAGGCGGUCCGGUAAGUCCGCUGUGAAAGUCGGGGGCUCAACCCUCGGAUGCCGGUGGAUACUGUCGGGCUUGAGUACGGAAGAGGCGAGUGGAAUUCCUGGUGUAGCGGUGAAAUGCGCAGAUAUCAAGGAGGAACACCAGUGGCGAAGGCGACUACCUGGCCCAUUCUUGACGCUGAGGCGCGAAAGCUAGGGGAGCGAACGGG
rnacentral:rRNA from 1 species